ACUGUUAGUUUGAAGUAUCAUUAUGUUACUGUUUGAAGUAUCAUUAUGUUACUGUUUGUUUGAAGUAUCAUUAUGUUACUGUUUGUUUGAAGUAUCAUUAUGUUACUGUUUGAAGUAUCAUUAUGUUACUGUUUGUUUGAAGUAUCAUUAUGUUACUGUUUGUUUGAAGUAUCAUUAUGUUACUGUUAGUUUGAAGUGUCGUUAUGUUACUGUUAGUUUGAAGUGUCGUUAUGUUACUGUUUGUUUGAAGUAUCAUUAUGUUACUGUUAGUUUGAAGUGUCGUUAUGUUACUGUUAGUUUGAAGUGUCGUUAUGUUACUGUUUGUUUGAAGUAUCAUUAUGUUACUGUUUGUUUGAAGUAUCAUUAUGUUACUGUUAGUUUGAAGUGUCGUUAUGUUACUGUUAGUUUGAAGUGUCGUUAUGUUACUGUUUGUUUGAAGUAUCAUUAUGUUACUGUUUGAAGUAUCAUUAUGUUACUGUUUGUUUGAAGUGUCGUUAUGUUACUGUUAGUUUGAAGUAUCGUUAUGUUACUGUUUGUUUGAAGUAUCAUUAUGUU
rnacentral:lncRNA from 13 species